rnacentral:tRNA from 1 species
UGCGGGAUGGUGUAAUGGUAGUCACGCCAGUCUUUGGAACUGGAGAUCCUGGUCCGAGUCCAGGUCCCGCAG